rnacentral:pre_miRNA from 1 species
UGUCUGUGGGAUAAAGGUUAGUCUUUAAAAGAUAAACUAACACUUAAACCAAUGACAUU